CCGCCUGGGAAGUACGUCCGCAAGGAUGAAACUUAAAGGAAUUGGCGGGGGAGCACCACACCCGGAGGAGCCUGCGGUUUAAUUGGACUCAACGCCGGACAUCUCACCAGUCCCGACAGUAGUCAUGACGGUCAGGUUGACGACUUUACCCGACGCUAUUGAGAGGAGGUGCAUGGCCGCCGUCAGCUCGUACCGUGAGGCAUCCUGUUAAGUCAGGUAACGAGCGAGACCCGCAUCCGUAGUUGCCAGCGAUACCCUGAGGUAGUCGGGUACACUACGGAGACCGCCGACGCUAAGUCGGAGGAAGGAACGGGCAACGGUAGGUCAGUAUGCCCCGAAUGGACUGGGCAACACGCGGGCUACAAUGGUCGAGACAAUGGGUCGCGAUACCGAGAGGUAGAGCUAAUCUCCCAAACUCGGUCGUAGUUCGGAUUGCGGGCUGAAACUCGCCCGCAUGAAGCUGGAUUCGGUAGUAAUCGCGUGUCAGAAGCGCGCGGUGAAUACGUCCCUGCUCCUUGCACACACCGCCCGUCAAAUCACCCGAGUGAGAUCCGGAUGAGGCCAUCAUGCGAUGGUCAAAUCUGGGUUUCGCAAGGGGGAUU
rnacentral:rRNA from 1 species